rfam:Flavonifractor plautii ATCC 29863 genomic scaffold Scfld251, whole genome shotgun sequence.
UCAAGCCUUCCGACCCUACUCCAUUUUCAUAGGGCGGAGGAGCGGUCAAAAAGGAGGAACGUCCGCCGGGCCGGCGGUGCGGCAGUGUGGAGACCUGCCGUAACGUCCGCAGAGUGACGCUCUCUGCGGGCAAGAGGGUAUUUGCGGAGGCAUUGCCCUUACGGCCCUGAACAUGGCA